rnacentral:rRNA from 1 species
UUGGAGGGCAAGUCUGGUGCCAGCAGCCGCGGUAAUUCCAGCUCCAAUAGCGUAUAUUAAAGUUGUUGCAGUUAAAAAGCUCGUAGUUGAAUUUCGGGAUCAAUGUUUCGGUCAUGCCGUUGGUAUGUACUGAUAUUAUUGAUUUCUCACCUUCUAAAGAACCGUAAUGCCAUUAAUUUGGUGUCACGGGGAAUUAGGACUGUUACCUUGAAAAAAUCAGAGUGUUUAAAGCAGGCUCACGCUUGAAUACAUUAGCAUGGAAUAAUGAAAUAGGACAUCCGAUUCUAUUUUGUUGGUUUCUAGGAUCGAUGUAAUGAUUAAUAGGGAUAGUUGGGGGCAUUAGUAUUCAAUUGUCAGAGGUGAAAUUCUUGGAUUUAUUGAAGACUAACUACUGCGAAAGCAUUUGCCAAGGAUGUUUUCAUUAAUCAAGAACGAAAGUUAGGGGAUCGAAGACGAUCAGAUACCGUCGUAGUCUUAACCAUAAACUAUGCCGACUAGGGAUCGGAUGAUGUUAAUUUUUUAAUGACUCAUUCGGCGCCUUACGGGAAAC